UCAACAAAUAUGUGGGACAAGUUAUACGUCGAACAACUAUAUGAUCACGUCCACUCAAUCAUAUGUUUUUCUUUCCUUUUCUAAAAGUAUGAAAUUGCAGAUAUUGAUUACGUUUCAAGUUGAGAUUUUUUUCAAUUGCAGCGUGAUCAACAAAACCGAUUAAUUCGAGACACAGCGAGAGAUCUGAAAGUAAAGCGUUCACCUUCCUUCGUGUUCAAAUUAUAACGAGAAGAACUGGGUCAACUCGCUGUGCAGGUGCACGACUGUGUUUCGUCCAUCAUCGAUACACAUCCCUUUUGUCGUUCCCGUAUCGAUUCGCGAGCGCACACGAACCCUUUAUGUUCAACAUCUUUUUGCUUUUUUCUUCGUACUGUUUGUGUUCCAAGAAAGUAUUUAUACAUAAAAGAUAGCUGGUACAAAUAUUAUACUAAACAUAAGAGAUUUAUGAAAUACAAAGGAGAAGUUUAUUAGGUAAUACAUGUAAUAAUUGGAACUGGAAACAAUUAAAAAAUAACCUCAAAAGAUAUGUACAGUGUCUCGUGUUUGCAGGAUUGCCACUACAUAAAUAGUAAAUUUUACGCGGGUUAAUUUAAACUGCUUCGAAAUUAAUCUAUCCGACAUGUAUCUGAAAAUGAACCAAGCUAAUCGAACGAGAUAAAAAUGUAAAUGCAAAUCUUCACGCUGUGCCGGGCAGCGUUUUAUUUAAUUAAGAGCAUUACCGUCCGAAAUCUCGUAUUGAUGUUGAAAUCUACCAAAAAGCGGCACAGACAUGCGAAACACCUACACACUGGGAUACGCAAUACAUGGCCGAGUAUUUUCCUGUUUAUUAUUAAAAUAUUCCGCCUCGUUACGUGACGGCUGAUACCGGGUUGUGGUGUAUCCUGUGAUACAGUAUAUGAUAGAAAUUAUUUCGUCGCUAAUCGAGUGAAUUACAUAUUGCCUUCGAGUGUUUCAUUAAUUACCGUAAAUCGAGCGACGUAAAAUAGUCUGAAGCACAUCCGCGAUCCAAUGAAAUUUCACGUAUCCCUUUACGCCAUCUUUCUGCCAGCGAGCACAUUUAAAAUCAAUCUGUGUACCGGUUCAACCAUAAAUCGCAUAUCGAUUUUCGUAGCCGUAAUUCGAUCAAAGAUCCCUGUUUACCCUGCGCGAUAUGCAACGUUCAUUCGAUUAAAACGAGCGAGGUGUGUAUAUCAUGAGCAACAACGUUCUAGAUAUAUAAAGAAGGGGAAAAGCAAAAAAUAAAGCGAAGAAAAAGAAGAAGUUACGUAGAGUGAAUGAAAUUCGUUGGCAACCCCACUCUGCCCAUGGAUGCACACAUACGCGAAACAAUCGUUUCGCGCAGUGUCAAGGUAACGACGCGACGGUAUCGCUGAGCAAUUAUAAACGCGGAAAAAAAAAAGAAAAAAGAAAAACAGAUUGUACGAACAGGUAACAAAAAACAAGAAAGAGAGAAAUGUUUGGAGGUAAAAAAAGAAAAGAAAAAUUAGGUCGCGAGUCAGUUUCGCUCGAUUGAAGUCGGUUGAUAUCUGUCUGUCGUGCGCGCAUCGUCGAAAUUCGCCCGUCGAUUUUCACCAGUAGUGAAUAUAUCCGUGAGAAGAGGGGUGGCCCGAGCAUUACCGGUUGAACUCUCUGUUGACGGAUCACGUGGCAGAAUUCAGGCAUCUCCGUUGGCACCGGCAGCCGAGCUGAUUUAUUGAGUGGCGUGGCAUUGCUGACCUCACUCUCGCUACGGCUAACGACACUAAGAGAGCUCUUGGUAAUCUGCCGAAUGCCAACGAUAUCUACCCAAGUCAAAAUUAUAUGCCCGUGCAACGGAUUUAGCUCAUUCAGCUACCGAAUCUCUCUCUCUCUCUCUCUCUCUCACUUUCCCUAUUAAAAUCUUUUUUUCUCUCCCUAAAGGCUUUUUGAUUUAUUUACAGAGUCGUGGUUUCUUUCGUCACAUCGAUCAUUAAAGAAUUGAAUAUUAUGGCGCAACGGAUGAUUUCUUGUUUGAAAAUUGGACUCAAAGUUUUGCGAAAGAUACGCAUGACUAUUCCGAACCGAGUAAAUUAAUUUGUACUGUAUUGGAGAACUGGAAUAUUUUUGGAGCAUACCAAGGAACGAAUACUCCGAGAGUUUUACAUAAAGGUUUAAGUCAUGUGAGUAAGUGAUUCUUCAACUACUUUGAUCAGCGAACAAAUACAUGUUCCUCACUCAAACCUGUUUCCAGCUCCAAAUUAUUUUUUCGAGGGAUCAUCAGCGCGUGUAACAGCGUACGACAAGUGAUUCGCUAUAAAUCAACGUUCACAGUUUCACAGAGUCACAUUAAGGCCACUGGUGAUGUGUCAAGUAUUAUUUGUAAAUGAUCCUUAUAAUAGCCAGUUACAGUAACUGGCUCCGGUCGAAGGAUUAUUGGAGCACAAAAAUGAGCUGUAACUUGGAAAUAAGGUCAAAUAUCUCACAGGUUAACUACAUACGUACUACAUUGUACGAUGUAGUAAAUUAAACAUAAAGAGCAUCCUCAAUCCGAUGACGUAUCGUUUGUGUAUCUCGAGUCCAAGAAUAAUUGUUGAUUACGUAUGAAGAUAAUCAACACACUCCUAAUCAAUGCUCGAUAUGUGUACGUGCACGUAAUACAUCCUUUUUUCAAUGAAUAUGUAGUUAAUCGAUAAACCUCGAUGCUCUCUACCAUUGUAAGGAAAGAAAAGUUAUACGAAAUAAGUCUAUUUCUAAUUAGAAAUUUCGCUUGAUCAUCGUUGUAAAUAUGUAAUGAGAUUAUCAUGAAAUCAUUGCGACCAAUGAACUUGUUUUAUUAUAACCGUACACUAUGCAUAGAAAGCCACAUAUAUAUUUACACGCGCCCAUUGUAUGUAUAAUUGUGUUGUCGUGUGAAAAGACUGUUCUUACGUAACGAACUCGGCAAGCUCGACGUGACACUGACCUCACUCUAAAUCCAUAAGUGGCUGUUAAUUAUCGAUUGGCAACGAUUUCAACGAUUUCACCAAUGGAGGAUGAGAGUAGAACCGAAGAAGGGUGAGAUGAAGGAGGAUGGGGAAAAGCCAAUACACAGAGUGGCCUGCUAAUCAGUCCGCUCCGAUAUCGCAAUAUGUGGGAUACGCUCGGUUGAUUUUCAACACGACGAGUUUACCCUAACGUAAUUAAUGUCCGUCGUACAAUGUGACGCGUAACGACAAAUUCGAACGACGUCGCUAUUCAUAGAAAGAGAGGAGAGAGAGAAAGAGAAAGAGAGGAGAGAGAGAAAGAGAAAGAGAGGAGAAGAGAGUAGGAGAAAAGAAAAGAUUACCGGUGAUCGUGUGCACGGUCUACAAAGUCAAUGCGAUUCCAUUCACCCAUCGUGCUUCCAUGUCCCGUGAACGAGACGAACGGCUUGCCUUGCCAUAACGGUCUAGAUGAAUUUAUAACUAAAUGAUGCAUCAGACACACAAAUACAACGAAUACAUCGUGCCCGUUUUGUAAUGGUCUAGAGCUAGCAGAUCUUUAAUUGCUGGCUCGUAGACAGAAUGUGACCCGAUUGUGUGCGUUACAGCGACCUUUCGAGGCGCCGCGGUUGAUUAUAGGCUGCUCAAAAUAAUUAAUCGAUCGUUUACUUUGAUUAUAUCGUUCAGAUAUAUUCGUCUGGAGAACCUUGAUGUCUCUUAAAUAUUAGAACUGAAUUUAAGCAAUUUAACAGAUAUCACUUUGCGAUUUAAUUUUUUCUUAACGAAUAGCACUUAAAUUAUACGGCAAAAUUAUCCGACACCUCGGAUUUUAUUUUCAGAUGUAUUUUAAGAGAUCCUCGUAUUUUAAGUGCAGGCAAAAAAUGUCCUGUAUUCAAACGAAAGGAUAUUGUUAGCAAAAGCUCGAUAGUCAUACGAUUUUAAGAGUGUCUCAAAAUACAUACUGUUCGCUUCAUUUAAGCAACAGUGGAAGAUUACUUUGAGCAAUGCAACCGAACACGAAGCGGAUAGGCGAGAACGGUGUAGGAUACACGUUCGUUUCAGAAGCGAGCUGUGUAUCAUCAUCAUCAUGCACGGUCGAGUGGAUCAUUUUUCAUUUAUGCGCGCCGGAUAAUGUGUAUCAUUGAAUAUGUCACUAAUUGCUCGACAGGAGGAUAAACAUUUUUUGCGGAGAUAAAUUAAACGGUCGCGACGCUGGACAAGAUAAUUAAGUAUUACGCCGAAGAACGUAAGGGCACGAUCAGAGGAAACGACGACGACAACAGCGGCGGUCAGCCUCCAGUCAAGAGAAGGAAGGGAGAAAACACGUCGGAUAAGAAAGAAUCUGUGGUAAGGACAAUCACCCGGGAGAGGUCGAACGAUCCCUGUAUGUUGCGAGACGACGAAAAAGUCCAAAAGGAUUUCCCCACGGCGCAACCAGCAAUUUGAAAAAGAAAACCAUCGACGCGUGCAUUCCCGAUUCAGAGGAUUUUUCAAAAGCUGGCACGUUACACCGAGCCUCCGAACCAUGUGCUUUUGUGUUUAUGACGAAGAAAUUUUAUACGCUCAAAUUAACCUGCGGAUCUCGUGCGUCUUGUGUACGAUGUCUAGCGUUCUGCAUGUUCUCGAUAACAAAAACUACAUUUUUCCAAUUGUUCAAAGCUCGCUUAAAGAGACGAGAAAAAAGUGACGUUUAACUAAUCUUUAAAGUGAAGCAGCGUGUAGAAAUAAAUUAGCAUUCUAUCAUUGGAAACGAGCAGUUGGAAGAAUAUCAUAGAAAAUAUGAGCAAUCUGGCGGAUAUUUCAGAUUCAUCUCAGGUCAAAGCGUUGGUAAUAGAGCAUUAAAAAGGGUCUGGUUUUUAUUCCCACGGCUUUUCAUAAUUAGUCGUCGUCGUCGUCGUCUGCCGGAAUAGCGAUGCAUAUCUCGCUCUCCGCUAAUUGUUUGACACCGAAUCAACAUCCUGCCGUGGCGUUUACAUUUCAAAUCGCCUUACUCGUAGCUCCCGGGAGCAGAUAACAAGGUAUCUAGUAACGCGAAUACCAAGCCUGAUAAUUCAUUUACUACCAGGUAACGAUUUCUUACAUUUAAUUAGCGAAGGAUUGUGCUUUACUAAUAGAGUGAGAAAAAUUUGGCUCUCAAAUUGGCUUCUAAUUAGACAGAAAAGACAAGAAAAGAAUAGAAAAGAUGUACAUAAAGUAUAUAAAAUAAAUAUAGAUGAAUACACGUAUCGCGUUACGAUCGGACAAGAUUGGUAAGCGAAGAUCUGGUAAGCAUUUCCUGCUAAGCGUUGCGCAGCUUACAGCUGUUCUGCACCGUCCAGAAGCUCAGGUUGGAGCGCGAACUCGUUCAGGAACAAGAGGGACCGGUUUAAGCGGUUUACAUCGCGGCUACUUUCUCCGUGACAAUAACAAUGCACUUUGUGCUUUGAUAAUGCACAAGAUGGACGAGUAAAUAACAAGUAUGCCUCCGUGAACGUCUUUUUCUUUCGAGACGUGCGACAUUACCACGGUUCGGGAACCAGAUUUGCGCGAUGGAAUUACAGUGACCAAAUACGUAAGGAGGGAAAAGUAUGAUGUUACUUUUUCAUUAAUUUAAAGAAAACUUCUUUUUAUCGUUGUUUGAUUUCUAAUAUGAAGAUAGGAAAUAAUUUAUUAAAUGCGCGAAUUAAGUAAUUACCCAAUCAAACGAGGUGAUUAUAUCACCUAUAAUCAUGCGUACAACUAUGUCAUUUUCUCUAUAAAUCUGUUACUUUCAGUAGCGUAGUUCCAGCAGAUAAAGCGAAGCAGAAAUUAAAGUAGCGGAUCCUACUAGAAAUUUCUCGAGCAUUAUCAUAUCUGUAAAUUAACAAGUUGAAUGCCAUGGGGGUCAUUAGUGACCGGCACUUAACUUUGCCGUGGGAGUCACCAGUGACCGACGCACCAAGAUUAGUAGAAAUACAUAAUUUGAACAAAUGUCAAUAGUUAUAAAUUUUGUAUUAUUAUCAUCAUUACUACAAUGGUGUGACGAAAUUAAUGCAGUAUGAAACAUAUAAAAAUAAUUUUAUUUAUACAUGAAAUAUAAAUCUAUUAUGUGCGUUUUCCUCCAGUGGCUGUCGAACAUGGAAAACCUCGCUUUUACCUUAGUGAAUAAUAGCCCUAAGAAACAUUUCGAAAUUUGAAAGAUAUAUGAUGGCAAUUAAGGGUCCUGACAUUAAAUGUCAGGCUAAAAUUUAGGCAAUGCUAAAUCUUUAAGUCAAGUUUCUUUAGAAUUAUCGCAGUUUCGAAUAGGUAUGACCGAGGGAUGGAUUAUGGUAAGUCCCGGGACGUAACAACAGAGAACUAUUUAGCAUUGUUAUUUAGAAUAAUUUCUAUAUAUUUAGAAUUAUUUAUAUAUUUUUAGCGCUAUUUAGAAUUAUUUAGCAAUGCGAAGAGACAAUAUGAGAUAAUUGAUAAUCGCAAAAAAUACGGCGACCUCAGUGAGAUAAAUUCAUUAAUGAUGACUAUGCACAGUAACAUACCUCUUGUAGGUAAUUUCAACAUUAUAUAUAUCGCAUAAUAAAAAAUUCAUUGUGGCACCAAGGUCAAACCUUGUAAAACUGGCGUGACAUUCAACUUGUUAAUAAUAAUAUGAUCAGCUGAUAUGGGUGAAGCAAAUGCUAUUUCUGCUAAAAAUAAUAUCAUACUUUGCCUAAAAUCGCUUAUAGUAAGAAACAAUAACAAGCGUAGAAAAUUUGCAUUCGUUACGCGUCGAGUUUCUUUUUCUUUAUCUUCUUCUUUGUAUGUGUCUUUCUGUUUCGCGAUUGCGGCGAUUUAUACCUGUGUCGUUGAUGUUUCAGUUCGGUCAAAACCAAUUGUCUUCGUUUCGUGAUUCUAACGCAGCGUACAAACUACAUUGGGAUGUGAGUUAUUAUGAGACAAGUGAAUGAGUAAUAAAUGAGUAAACGGUGAGAGUAAGCGAGCAAAUGGUAAAUAUUAGUGAUUUAUGUCUGCAAGCAAUAAAGGUCCACUAGGUACUUUCUCGUUUUGUCUCAUUUUCUUUUAUUUUUCAGGUAGAAAAGAAAUUUACUCAUCCGAUAAGAAGAAAGUGGGAGACGAAAGGUCCAAACUAUUUGAACACUUUUCCUUCACAUUAUGCGAUCUGUACUUUGUCCAAGAAUGAUUAACAGGCCGUCUUCAGAGUCUCUUUUACGACUCCCAGUCGGGGUUCCUUUAUGCGAUAACAAUACGCUUAAUAACGUAAAAAAUAGACUUAGAUAAUUCGACAGUAGUUUGCAUGACGAACUCGCUAAGAGAAUACAAUGUUCCAUCGCUAUUGUCUCUACGAUUCGUACGUGACAGUUUGACCUCUGCAUACAAUUCUCCCGCUGCGAUUUCUGAACGAAUAGUUGUUUUCAUUUAAAAGAGACCAAUAGAACAAUGAAUCAUAAUGUACAUUAUGCUUCGAUUUCGAAACAUUGCAUAUGAUGACCCUGUUAUUUUCCGGUGACUGUGUUUGAUUGUUCCAUGAUUAUUUUUAUAAAAGCGGCUGGCAUAAUGUUUCAUUUCAUAGAACCACCAGGUUUAAUUUACCAGCGUUCCAAUUCUCAUAGAUACGAUGGCAAAUGUUCGUUCGUUUAUACGCAGAUUUCAUGAUUGUUUAUCGACAAUUUCAUGGUUUUUUAUACAUACAUUAUCCGUUCGAAAAUGAAACGAAUAAUACGUAUUUAGGAAGAACCAUUACAUCAUUACGAUUUCGCGAUGAAAGCAAUUGGAGGUCAUCUACUGAUACGGUAGAGAAGCAGAGAUAAUAGUUUCUUUUUCCGAACAAUCUGCAUCGCAAAUGAUCGACGGUAUCUGUUUGUUUCGCAUUGGAAAACAGUGUUAUGCUUUGCAAUUUGCGCGAAGGAAAAUGGUCAAAACGCGAUAGGCUAGUCGACCGAUUGACAUUGCUGCUUUUAUUUAUCAAUGAAAAUUAUAGCUCGUUAACGAAGACGAGCGUGUCAGUCGAGUUGGUAUCGCAGUGUACGGUAAAAAUAGCGAUUAGCGAUUGCGUUCGCGAUAAAUCAUGAUAAAAGGUGCUAUGUAGUGGCGUGAAAGAGCUUUCGCUGCCUCGUAGACGCAAUGUAACACCACUAGCGUUGCUUCUUUUUUUGGCUCACGCCGACUAGAGAUAAUAAGUUCGAUUUAUGUUCACUUCGAUGUAUCGUCGAUAAGGCCCUGCGUAAUUAAAGCCUUCUAUUUCGAAAUAAUCUUGAUUGGCGUACACCAGCCUUUUCCGCCGUACUCGAACUCGUUUUCAAACGGCGUUUAUGCUUCAGUAAUUUCAAUCAUAUUUUCCGGAUUAUACACCUUGUUCCAAAUAUUCGCCUAAUUGUGCGAAACAAAUCGUAUUUUCGGCCAAAAUAUUUGUAUACUUCUUACUUAAUUAUGAGAUACUAUGUCCGUUUUAUUUUUAUUUUAAUCACUUCUAAGAGGUGGUAGCUCUUCGUUAUUCGUACUUUUUGAUAAUCCCCUAACAUGGACAGAGCAAGAUUAUUCAAAAGCAGGUUUCAGUUCGUUUGAAAUGGAUAUUACAUUAACCCAUUAAAGACCAGUGGUGCAUUAAGAC